AGAGCGAUGGAAGCUUGCUUCUAUCAAUCUUAGUGGCGAACGGGUGAGUAACGCGUAAUCAACCUGCCCUUCAGAGGGGGACAACAGUUGGAAACGACUGCUAAUACCGCAUACGAUCUGACCUUGGCAUCGAGGAUAGUUGAAAGGUGGCCUCUAUUUAUAAGCUAUCACUGAAGGAGGGGAUUGCGUCUGAUUAGCUAGUUGGAGGGGUAACGGCCCACCAAGGCGAUGAUCAGUAGCCGGUCUGAGAGGAUGAACGGCCACAUUGGGACUGAGACACGGCCCAGACUCCUACGGGAGGCAGCAGUGGGGAAUCUUCCGCAAUGGACGAAAGUCUGACGGAGCAACGCCGCGUGAGUGAUGACGGCCUUCGGGUUGUAAAGCUCUGUUAAUCGGGACGAAAGGCCUUCUUGCGAAUAGUUAGAAGGAUUGACGGUACCGGAAUAGAAAGCCACGGCUAACUACGUGCCAGCAGCCGCGGUAAUACGUAGGUGGCAAGCGUUGUCCGGAAUUAUUGGGCGUAAAGCGCGCGCAGGCGGAUUGGUCAGUCUGUCUUACAAGUUCGGGGCUUAACCCCGUGAUGGGAUGGAAACUGCCAAUCUAGAGUAUCGGAGAGGAAAGUGGAAUUCCUAGUGUACGCGGUGAAAUGCGUAGAUAUUAGGAAGAACACCAGUGGCGAAGGCGACUUUCUGGACGAAAACUGACGCUGAGGCGCGAAAGUCCAGGGGAGCGAACGGGAUUAGAUACCCCGGUAGUCCUGUCCGUAAACGAUGGGUACUAGGUGUAGGAGGUAUCGACCCCUUCUGUGCCGGAGUUAAC
rnacentral:rRNA from 1 species